AAAAUAUACUUGAACGUGAUGUCUAUAGGCUCGUACCCAUGCAUAUAAGGAGGCAAGCACUUCAGUCUGGUUGAUGCAUUCUGACCACUGGGCCAGAGCGUGAUUAACGGUAAAGAUGCAUCUGAUGGGUAAAUCCGACAGCUAUAAAGGAUCGUUCCUGUCAGGCUCACACAUGUGCAGGGUGGCCCAGUGGUUGUCUGAUAGACA
rnacentral:snoRNA from 1 species